UCGGAUAUGGUGUAACGGCUAACAUUGCCGCCUCUCAUUCUCUUAAGUGCGCGGCAGCUCGGGGUUCGAUUCCCCGUAUCCGAA
rnacentral:tRNA from 1 species